rnacentral:rRNA from 1 species
UACGGAGGAUGCAAGCGUUAUCCGGAAUUAUUGGGCGUAAAGCGUCCGCAGGUGGCUCAUCAAGUCUGCUGUCAAAGGCAGGGGCUUAACCCCUGAAAGGCAGUGGAAACUGGGGAGCUAGAGUGCAGUAGGGGUAGAGGGAAUUCCCGGUGUAGCGGUGAAAUGCGUAGAGAUCGGGAAGAACAUCGGUGGCGAAGGCGGGUCUCUGGGCCGAUACUGACGCUGAGGAGCGAAAGCGUGGGGAGCGAACAGG